GAUGAACGCUGGCGGCGUGCCUAAUACAUGCAAGUCGAGCGAACAGACGAGGAGCUUGCUCCUCUGACGUUAGCGGCGGACGGGUGAGUAACACGUGGAUAACCUACCUAUAAGACUGGGAUAACUUCGGGAAACCGGAGCUAAUACCGGAUAAUAUAUUGAACCGCAUGGUUGAAUAGUGAAAGACGGUUUUGCUGUCACGUAUAGAUGGAUCCGCGCCGCAUUAGCUAGUUGGUAAGGUAACGGCUUACCAAGGCAACGAUGCGUAGCCGACCUGAGAGGGUGAUCGGCCACACUGGAACUGAGACACGGUCCAGACUCCUACGGGAGGCAGCAGUAGGGAAUCUUCCGCAAUGGGCGAAAGCCUGACGGAGCAACGCCGCGUGAGUGAUGAAGGUCUUCGGAUCGUAAAACUCUGUUAUUAGGGAAGAACAAAUGUGUAAGUAACUAUGCACGUCUUGACGGUACCUAAUCAGAAAGCCACGGCUAACUACGUG
rnacentral:rRNA from 1 species